rnacentral:rRNA from 1 species
CUUGUGGUCGGUAUACAGGUGGUGCAUGGCUGUCGUCAGCUCGUGUCGUGAGAUGUUGGGUUAAGUCCCGCAACGAGCGCAACCCUUGUUCUGUGUUGCCAGCAUGCCCUUCGGGGUGAUGGGGACUCACAGGAGACUGCCGGGGUCAACUCGGAGGAAGGUGGGGACGACGUCAAGUCAUCAUGCCCCUUAUGUCUUGGGCUGCACACGUGCUACAAUGGCCGGUACAAUGAGCUGCGAUGCCGCGAGGCGGAGCGAAUCUCAAAAAGCCGGUCUCAGUUCGGAUUGGGGUCUGCAACUCGACCCCAUGAAGUCGGAGUGCUAGUAAUCGCAGAUCAGCAUUGCUGCGGUGAAUACGUUCCCGGG